UACGAAGGGUGCAAGCGUUACUCGGAAUUACUGGGCGUAAAGCGUGCGUAGGUGGUCGUUUAAGUCCGUUGUGAAAGCCCUGGGCUCAACCUGGGAACUGCAGUGGAUACUGGGCGACUAGAGUGUGGUAGAGGGUAGCGGAAUUCCUGGUGUAGCAGUGAAAUGCGUAGAGAUCAGGAGGAACAUCCAUGGCGAAGGCAGCUGCCUGGACCAACACUGACACUGAGGCACGAAAGCGUGGGGAGCAAACAGG
rnacentral:rRNA from 1 species